CUGCUGGACUGGAGGAUCCACACUGCAGACUGGAGAAACUCAAUGUGGAACAUGGUGGAGAGAACACAAUGAAACCUGGACUUAGAAAAUAUGUCUGUGAUCUCACACUGGACCUAAACACAGUAAACAGACGCCUCUCUCUGUCUGAGGAGAACAGAAAGGUGACAUGUAGGAGAGAGGAGCAGCCGUAUCCUGAACACCCAGAGAGAUUUGAGGGCUGGAGACAGGUGCUGUGUAGAGAGGGUCUGACUGGGCGCUGUUACUGGGAGGUAGAGAGGAGUGGGGGAUGGGCUGAUAUUGGAGUGACAUAUAAAUUAAUCAACAGGAGAGGUGAGGGUAAUGACUGUGUUAUUGGAUCCAAUGACAAGUCCUGGAGUCUGUUCUGCUCUGAUAACCAUUACACUGCCAGGCACAAUAAUAAUCCCACUACCAUAGACGUCCGCCCUCCAGCUCCCACAGAGUAGGAGUGUAUCUGGACUGGCCAGCCGGCACUCUGUCCUUCUAUAGAGCCUCCUCUGACACACUGACCCACCUGUACACAUUCUACACCACAUUCACUGAGCCCCUCUAUCCAGGGUUUAGGGUUGAUGACACCUCUUCAGUGUCCCUGUGAUGUUUCACUCUAAUCAUGUGUUUUAUGUUUGAUCACAAUAUGACAUUUAAAUACAUGGAGUAACACACCAGUUAUGCCAGUUUAUUCCUGUAAAUAAUAACCAUGGUAACUCUG